ACCGAAGAUUAUUACCAGCUCAAAGAGAAAAUUGAGCAUUUGAUCUGAGAAGGGAGGCUGGAUCGAUUCAUCCGACGAUAAGGUCCUCCAUGCCGAUAUCCUCCAAUGACUAGACAGCAGCAGCGGAGACGUCCUACGCUUCAGUAGCGACAACACCAGCCCCCUCUACCUCAACCUCAAUUGGCUCCAAUGCAACCACAAGCGGAGGGGCAGAUGGUAGCAGAAGAUCGACCCCUGUGGGGUGAAAUUCAUAUGAUAGCUUGGGGGUCGUCUGG
rnacentral:lncRNA from 1 species